UGGGGGGGGGUGGACAGUGACAUGCAGAUGUGGACCUCAUUGUCCCAUGCCACUGCUACAGCCCCUUCUAAUUGGAGGAGAAACCCGUGUUCUCCGACAGGAAUAAAACUAGUUCUCUGAAGCCUGUGAAAGAUGUCAUUCUUCCUGUCUUGGGCUGUGAUGCUGCUGUACCCUUGGUUUUCUCUCUUGGGCAGUCUGAUGGUGGCCUGGGCUCCUAGUUUGGAAGGUGAGGACUUGCCCUGGUGGAGGUGAGGGCACUGAAGAGAGAGAGUGUGUGGGGAGACCCAAGGGGGCAGAGCUGAGAUUGCGAUAACACAGUACGGUGAAGCACUGGCUGGCGGAGGGCAGGGCGCACAGGCUGGGGGAUGCCCAGUGGCUGCUGUGGAGGGGACUCUCCUGUCAGGUAGGCCUGGGUCCCAAUAGCUGAGACUUUUCAGUCCCCAACACCUCUGGGGAGCCUGAAAACAGCUGCUGCCAACACCACACGCCCCUUCCCUCCUCUGAGAAGCAGAGUGGGGAGGAGACCUUUGGUGGGCUGAACGUAGGCACAGGCUGGGGGUAGUGGGAAGUUCCUAUGGCUCUAGAGUUGUCACCUUUUUCCCCAGGGCACCUCCGUGCUUAAGAGCUGGAGAGGGUCACAGGAGUGGCUCUGUGUGCAGGGCCCAGGGCCAGCCCUCAUCACAGGGUCACAUUUCUACCAAGCCUGCCUAUUCCCUUUGGGAGAACAAAAGCUGCGAAGGUGUCAAGGGCUGCCAAUGGAGAGACUCUGGAGCCAUCGGCCCUUAAAGACCUGCUUGCCCAGCACAGCAGCCAGGGAAGGUGCCCAGUUACUUCCUAUGAAAGUGGAGCAGACUGGCACAUCAGCCUUCCUGGGAUCAUUUGACAAAUGUUUCUGGAACGAUUUUCUUGUUUUGGGAGAAGCCCCUGCAGGCAGACAGACUCGGGAGCCCUUUCUAGGUUGCAUUUCUAAAGGACUUUAUUGUCAUCCUGCUUCAAUACCACAGUAAAAAGGGACCUGCAAGCUCCAGGCCUGUACCAUGUGUCACCACAGCAAAAACGACCCACUUGAACAUGUUUCCCACCCCACCCCCAACCUACUCACAAGAUAAAUAUGUGUUACAAAUUUUUUAAAAAGAAAACAGAAUAAAUUAAUAACUUAA